GUCCCCAGGGAAUACUGAUAGCCUUUUUCCAAUAAAGCGAAAUCUAUUUGCAAUAAUAGGUAUAUGCAAAGACCUCCUGAAAUUACAGGAGCAAACUCCUUCCGCAUCUCGACCUAAUUAAGAUCCGUUACUCAACAGUGAUCAGUCAGAUUUUACUGUAAGAAGGAAGAAAACAAGGAUCCUGCUAGAACAACAUGGAAACAGGACCUACAACAAAGAGAUUUCUCACUGGCUUCCUGGUGGUUCAUUCAAUAGGGAAUUCCUGCAGCAAGUUGGAGGGAGGGAGGAGAAGCAGGGAGGCCACCUCCUGUCAAAGCUGGGACAUCUGAGAGACAGUGGUCACACAACAACUCAACUGCAUGUGCACCUAAAACAGUAGCUUAUUUUCUCUGACUGUUUCUUCUUCUUCUUCUUCUACUCCUUAUUCUUAUUCUUCUUUCUGAUUUACCAACCUACUGGGUAUCAGUGCAAAAAAUUAUUUUACUUGCGAAUUAAUGAUAUCACCACGUUUUCU
rnacentral:lncRNA from 10 species